AUUGAACGCUGGCGGCAUGCUUUACACAUGCAAGUCGAACGGCAGCGCGGGCUUCGGCCUGGCGGCGAGUGGCGAACGGGUGAGUAAUGCAUCGGAACGUGCCCAGUAGUGGGGGAUAGCCCGGCGAAAGCCGGAUUAAUACCGCAUACGACCUGAGGGUGAAAGCGGGGGACCGAAAGGCCUCGCGCUUUUGGAGCGGCCGAUGUCGGAUUAGCUAGUUGGUGGGGUAAAGGCUUACCAAGGCGACGAUCCGUAGCUGGUCUGAGAGGACGACCAGCCACACUGGGACUGAGACACGGCCCAGACUCCUACGGGAGGCAGCAGUGGGGAAUGUUGGACAAUGGGGGCAACCCUGAUCCAGCCAUGCCGCGUGCGGGAAGAAGGCCUUCGGGUUGUAAACCGCUUUUGUUCGGGAAGAAAUCCUCUGGGCUAAUACCCCGGGGGGAUGACGGUACCGGAAGAAUAAGCACCGGCUAACUACGUG
rnacentral:rRNA from 1 species